UACGAAGGGGGCGAGCGUUGUUCGGAUUUACUGGGCGUAAAGGGCGCGUAGGCGGCCCUCUUUGUCGCGUGUGAAAGCCCCGGGCUCAACCUGGGAAUUGCGCGCGAAACGGGGGGGCUUGAGUUCGGGAGAGGAGCGUGGAAUUCCGAGUGUAGAGGUGAAAUUCGUAGAUAUUCGCAAGAACACCAGUGGCGAAGGCGGCUCACUGGCCCGGAACUGACGCUGAGGUGCGAAAGCGUGGGGAGCAAACAGG
rnacentral:rRNA from 1 species